rnacentral:rRNA from 1 species
GGGUUGUGAGGUUAAGCGACUAAGCGUACACGGUGGAUGCCCUGGCAGUCAGAGGCGAUGAAGGACGUGCUAAUCUGCGAUAAGCGUCGGUAAGGUGAUAUGAACCGUUAUAACCGGCGAUUUCCGAAUGGGGAAACCCAGUGUGUUUCGACACACUAUCAUUAACUGAAUCCAUAGGUUAAUGAGGCGAACCGGGGGAACUGAAACAUCUAAGUACCCCGAGGAAAAGAAAUCAACCGAGAUUCCCCCAGUAGCGGCGAGCGAACGGGGAGCAGCCCAGAGCCUGAAUCAGUGUGUGUGUUAGUGGAAGCGUCUGGAAAGGCGCGCGAUACAGGGUGACAGCCCCGUACACAAAAAUGCACAUACUGUGAGCUCGAUGAGUAGGGCGGGACACGUGGUAUCCUGUCUGAAUAUGGGGGGACCAUCCUCCAAGGCUAAAUACUCCUGACUGACCGAUAGUGAACCAGUACCGUGAGGGAAAGGCGAAAAGAACCCCGGCGAGGGGAGUGAAAAAGAACCUGAAACCGUGUACGUACAAGCAGUGGGAGCACGCUUAGGCGUGUGACUGCGUACCUUUUGUAUAAUGGGUCAGCGACUUAUAUUCUGUAGCAAGGUUAACCGAAUAGGGGAGCCGAAGGGAAACCGAGUCUUAACUGGGCGUUAAGUUGCAGGGUAUAGACCCGAAACCCGGUGAUCUAGCCAUGGGCAGGUUGAAGGUUGGGUAACACUAACUGGAGGACCGAACCGACUAAUGUUGAAAAAUUAGCGGAUGACUUGUGGCUGGGGGUGAAAGGCCAAUCAAACCGGGAGAUAGCUGGUUCUCCCCGAAAGCUAUUUAGGUAGCGCCUCGUGAAUUCAUCUCCGGGGGUAGAGCACUGUUUCGGCAAGGGGGUCAUCCCGACUUACCAACCCGAUGCAAACUGCGAAUACCGGAGAAUGUUAUCACGGGAGACACACGGCGGGUGCUAACGUCCGUCGUGAAGAGGGAAACAACCCAGACCGCCAGCUAAGGUCCCAAAGUCAUGGUUAAGUGGGAAACGAUGUGGGAAGGCCCAGACAGCCAGGAUGUUGGCUUAGAAGCAGCCAUCAUUUAAAGAAAGCGUAAUAGCUCACUGGUCGAGUCGGCCUGCGCGGAAGAUGUAACGGGGCUAAACCAUGCACCGAAGCUGCGGCAGCGACGCUUAUGCGUUGUUGGGUAGGGGAGCGUUCUGUAAGCCUGCGAAGGUGUGCUGUGAGGCAUGCUGGAGGUAUCAGAAGUGCGAAUGCUGACAUAAGUAACGAUAAAGCGGGUGAAAAGCCCGCUCGCCGGAAGACCAAGGGUUCCUGUCCAACGUUAAUCGGGGCAGGGUGAGUCGACCCCUAAGGCGAGGCCGAAAGGCGUAGUCGAUGGGAAACAGGUUAAUAUUCCUGUACUUGGUGUUACUGCGAAGGGGGGACGGAGAAGGCUAUGUUGGCCGGGCGACGGUUGUCCCGGUUUAAGCGUGUAGGCUGGUUUUCCAGGCAAAUCCGGAAAAUCAAGGCUGAGGCGUGAUGACGAGGCACUACGGUGCUGAAGCAACAAAUGCCCUGCUUCCAGGAAAAGCCUCUAAGCAUCAGGUAACAUCAAAUCGUACCCCAAACCGACACAGGUGGUCAGGUAGAGAAUACCAAGGCGCUUGAGAGAACUCGGGUGAAGGAACUAGGCAAAAUGGUGCCGUAACUUCGGGAGAAGGCACGCUGAUAUGUAGGUGAAGUCCCUCGCGGAUGGAGCUGAAAUCAGUCGAAGAUACCAGCUGGCUGCAACUGUUUAUUAAAAACACAGCACUGUGCAAACACGAAAGUGGACGUAUACGGUGUGACGCCUGCCCGGUGCCGGAAGGUUAAUUGAUGGGGUUAGCGCAAGCGAAGCUCUUGAUCGAAGCCCCGGUAAACGGCGGCCGUAACUAUAACGGUCCUAAGGUAGCGAAAUUCCUUGUCGGGUAAGUUCCGACCUGCACGAAUGGCGUAAUGAUGGCCAGGCUGUCUCCACCCGAGACUCAGUGAAAUUGAACUCGCUGUGAAGAUGCAGUGUACCCGCGGCAAGACGGAAAGACCCCGUGAACCUUUACUAUAGCUUGACACUGAACAUUGAGCCUUGAUGUGUAGGAUAGGUGGGAGGCUUUGAAGUGUGGACGCCAGUCUGCAUGGAGCCGACCUUGAAAUACCACCCUUUAAUGUUUGAUGUUCUAACGUUGACCCGUAAUCCGGGUUGCGGACAGUGUCUGGUGGGUAGUUUGACUGGGGCGGUCUCCUCCUAAAGAGUAACGGAGGAGCACGAAGGUUGGCUAAUCCUGGUCGGACAUCAGGAGGUUAGUGCAAUGGCAUAAGCCAGCUUGACUGCGAGCGUGACGGCGCGAGCAGGUGCGAAAGCAGGUCAUAGUGAUCCGGUGGUUCUGAAUGGAAGGGCCAUCGCUCAACGGAUAAAAGGUACUCCGGGGAUAACAGGCUGAUACCGCCCAAGAGUUCAUAUCGACGGCGGUGUUUGGCACCUCGAUGUCGGCUCAUCACAUCCUGGGGCUGAAGUAGGUCCCAAGGGUAUGGCUGUUCGCCAUUUAAAGUGGUACGCGAGCUGGGUUUAGAACGUCGUGAGACAGUUCGGUCCCUAUCUGCCGUGGGCGCUGGAGAACUGAGGGGGGCUGCUCCUAGUACGAGAGGACCGGAGUGGACGCAUCACUGGUGUUCGGGUUGUCAUGCCAAUGGCACUGCCCGGUAGCUAAAUGCGGAAGAGAUAAGUGCUGAAAGCAUCUAAGCACGAAACUUGCCCCGAGAUGAGUUCUCCCUGACUCCUUGAGAGUCCUGAAGGAACGUUGAAGACGACGACGUUGAUAGGCCGGAUGUGUAAGCGCAGCGAUGCGUUGAGCUAACCGGUACUAAUGAACCGUGAGGCUUAACCUUACAACGCCGAAGCUGUU